GAAUUUUGGACAAUGGGCGCAAGCCUGAUCCAGCCAUGCCGCGUGAGUGAAGAAGGCCUUCGGGUUGUAAAGCUCUUUCGGCCGGAACGAAAUCGCAGCGUUGAAUAAACGCUGUGGAUGACGGUACCGGAACAAGAAGCACCGGCUAACUACGUGCCAGCAGCCGCGGUAAUACGUAGGGUGCGAGCGUUAAUCGGAAUUACUGGGCGUAAAGCGUGCGCAGGCGGUUUGUUAAGCCAGAUGUGAAAGCCCCGGGCUCAACCUGGGAACUGCGUUUGGUACUGGCAAGCUAGAGUACGGCAGAGGGGGGUGGAAUUCCACGUGUAGCAGUGAAAUGCGUAGAGAUGUGGAGGAACACCGAUGGCGAAGGCAGCCCCCUGGGCCGAUACUGACGCUCAGGCACGAAAGCGUGGGGAGCAAACAG
rnacentral:rRNA from 1 species